ACAAUUUACAUGGAGCUCGCCCUGCGCCCGCUAUUUACUUUGAAAACCUGAUUAGCAUGGGUCGCCUAUUGUCACAAAAAGAGGAAGAAACCUCGGAGAGAAUGGCCGAGGGCGUGCGCCGCUAAAACGCGGGCGAGCUCGACGCACGUGAAACACGGCGACGUUCGGAGCACGUUCUGCGUCUGAACCGGCGUGUCUCCCCGUCACAUGAAUCCGCGCUCGAUCGUAUGUGGCAAGUAUCUGAAAACUACCUCGACGGAGACUCACACGCCGACAUUUUACGCGGCAUUCGUAAAUGGGUGCGUAUUUUUUUAAGAAAUUCUAAUGACAAUAUUUCCAAUUUUCGCGUGAAGUUGUUAAAUCGUUUUACGAAACCGGCUGUAAUGUAAUGAGAGGAAAGCUUCGGAUUCUCAGACUGGAAAUGUCUGGAUCGCACUGCCACCUAGCGGACAGUGCGGAAGUGCAGGAGAGGGUACGGGGAGCGCUGCAUCGCCCACCGCCUUCAAACAGGCACUUGUCAUACAGUCCAACAGUUUCCACUUGUACUACCACCACCAUUAUUAAUUAUUAUUCUUAUCAUUAUUGUUAGAAUUAUUAUUAUACGAAUACAUGCGUUCUAAAACAGCACGACUCAAAGUGCAUUAACUGGAUUGCAUAAUAAUGCAGCAAAAAUAGAAAAUGCAGGCGAAAUCACACAUUCUCAUUUUUCCCAACUUCCAAAUUUAAGUUUGAAAGCAUCUGCACAACUAUCACCGCGUUCUUGGCGAAAUGUGUGCUGUCCGUGCGGUCAGUACUUUGCAGUACUUGUGCAGCUCAUCUGUGUUUAAACAGCUCAGGUUAAGCAGCGCGAUGGGAUGGGGCGCAAAUGUCCAGGAGCUCAAAGCCUGCGUGUAAAUGCAGUGGUGAAACGAAUAAGAUUAAAGGCGACAAAAGGAAAGUUCUGUAAGUGUAUCAUGGAGAUUUCACUGCGCGCAUCGUGGAGGCUGAGAGAGGGAGAGAGACGAGAGAGGGGGGACGGCGAAUGGGAGCGGAGCGGAGCGGAGGGGAGACGAGGCGAGACGAGACCAGACGAGCCUCUGCAGGAAACAACGGGCACAAACGGGGGAAAGUGGACAGCGCGGGCGGCGCUCAGUGCAGCAGCACCGGGAGAUGAGCGCCGAAGCGCCGGAGCGCCGAAGGACGAGCGCAGAAGAACCUGCGACGACACACACACACACACACACACACACACACACACUUACGUCCACGAGGCAAGUAGAGCUUCUCUUUUGUGCUGCACGCGACGGUGCGCGGCAGCUCUUCUCUCUCUGCAUGACGUGUGUCCGUGUAAGCAUGCUUUGCAAAACUAUUAUGAUUAUUACGACUGUUAUUAUUACGGGCGUUUAAUAGGCUUUGCUUGUCAACCCGAAGGCUCCUCCGCUCCGAAGUGUCGCAGAGAGUUCAUUAAGAGUCAUUACUGGAGCGCUCCAGUGUAGGAGGUGAAAAGCCCCCUUUCCUUCCCAAAUAAUGUGGAUGUUCUCACCUGCUCCAGCCUGUUUGUGGUUUGAUCACGUAAUGAGAAGAUCGAUAGGAGCCUGUUUGUCUAAGAGAUAGUGUCAACGGAUUAAAAGGACUGUUACACCAUCGACUCUGCCCAUGCAGCUCCACAGGCGCACAGGGAUUUUUUUUUGGGAAAGCAGUCAGUGCGUUAGUUUAAAUGUCUUCUGUGCGCAUCGACGCCGGCAUUAAAAUAAUACUCACACAUAAAUGCAGGACAUUCUACUGUGUCCACGCAAAUUUGAGGGUAAGAGCAAACACGGCAGACGCGUGUGUCACAAACCCUAUGCUGGGCGAGCUGACAGUGUCUGGAUGUGUUCGAGUGAACCCAACUUUAGUCUUUUUCUUUUGUCUUUUUUUGCCCGAAACUUAUUUCCAUCCGUUAAAGACGCUCAGGAAAACGCAACGAUAACAAUAAAAAAAAAAAAAAAACACACGAUCACCCGCCCCCCCCCAACAUUUUACAUAAACCACGUUAUAAUCGCAGUUGCCACUUUGAGAUCUUUGUAGCAAAUGGAAGGAAACGAACGAAGCCCUUAAAUUAUUCAUUAAUAUCCCACACGUGAUUUCGUCACUUCUUCGCACCGUUUUUAUGCGACAUCUCCAUUAUGCGGCGAUAUCAAAAGAAUAUUCAAAGACGUGAUAAUGCGACACUAACUUCAUAUAAGUUAUGUCUUUUAAUGCGUGCGUGCCUGCAAUUUUGUACUUAAUGUUUGCAUGCUUAAUAUUAACACCACACAAAAUUAAAAUAUAUCUAGAGGCGAGCGAUCAUUUACAGUGAAAUGAACUUAUGUGUUUUGUACCUUUUUUUUUCAUAGUACUUUAAAGGCCCCCCGUCGAGCCACCUGAGUAAACAGGAUUCCGUUUUCAGUGUUGUACGACGGGGUGGUAAAAUGGCCCGGACGCCCAGUUUUUACACUCCCUCGUGCCUGCCACUUUCAGCUCGCGCACAAUUUGUAAUCAUGUGCGGGAGCGUCGAAUGUGCGCGUUUACCGCCCUGUGCCACACUGUGCCUUUACCUGUGCGCCAAGGAAACACCUUCCCGGGAAAGAGGUCUGCGCGCUGCUUGGGGCCUUGCGUUUUUCAGCAGACUGAGUACGAUUAGUGAAUUAAGAGAGAAUGCAAAAACGAUCCCCCUACUAAUUGCUAAACUGUUAUAAUAAUUCUACCCAAAGGAACGGAGCCAAAGCCCGCCUCAUCUCAUGUAUGCCCUGUCUGUUGUUGGCGCAGGUAAAGUGAGGGGCCGCGCUGUGGUAAACCGAAAACACCGGUGUGUGUGAUUCACGAACAAUGAAUGAACGAGACUAAUUGCAGCCGAUAGUGUGUGAGCUCGCGGUGACAGUUGCGGUUGAGCGUCGCGAGGGCCGCCGAGCAUCGUGUGUGGGACGUGGUCGGAUUGUGCGCGCGAAGCACAGGCGAAGCACAGCCGAAGCACAGCCGAAGCACACUUGCAACUGGACAGAUGCAACAAGACGAUGAGCUGUGCUCCAAAGUGUGCAGCGGAGUUGCACGGUGCGAAAGCGACGGGCAGGAGGAAGGCUGUGCUGCGCUGUGCUGCGCUGUGCUGCGCUGUGCUGCGCUGUGCUGCGCUGUGCUGCGCUGUGCUGCGCUGUGCUCCUGGCUUCGCUCUCUCAGUUUAGGACGUUUUGUUUCUUGUCCCCGUGCUUUUGAGUCCCAGCAAGUUGAAAGAGAGGAGGGGGGUCUUUUGUCUGACCUGAUCCCUGGCCAUUCGGGGCUCACACUGGUGUGAAUGGGACGAGAAGGUCACUUGAAAUCGCCUUUCAUCCGCUGCCAUUUUUCAAUGGAUCACCAGCUUUCAAUAGACAUAAUCUAAUCGCCCUUAAUGGAAAGGCUAAACGUGAGAAAUGAGGGAAAUAUCUUGAACAUAAAACCGCACCGCAUACAUAUUUCUCUAUCCAGGCACCAUCGGCAGCAGUGCCAAGUUAUACGCGCUUUCAAAGUGAUGGACACGUCAUAAAGGGCCGUUUAGCUCCGUUUAACGCGGUUCAUUUCAAAUUAAAGCCGGACAUUGUGAUGAGAAUAAAAUAAAAAUAAUUUGUAAAAAAAAAAAAGAGAAGCUGUUUUCCAUCUACAUUAGAGACUGUUGUCAAGUAAUAUACCUGACACUUUUUGUGAGGUUCUAAAUAAUAGGGCAAUAAAAAACAACAUUAGUAAUGGUUAUUGGUUAA